rnacentral:rRNA from 2 species
UUUAUUGGAGAGUUUGAUCCUGGCUCAGGACGAACGCUGGCGGCGUGCCUAAUACAUGCAAGUCG